rnacentral:rRNA from 1 species
CCUACGGGCGGCAGCAGUGAGGAAUAUUGGUCAAUGGACGAGAGUCUGAACCAGCCAAGUAGCGUGAAGGAUGACUGCCCUAUGGGUUGUAAACUUCUUUUAUAUGGGAAUAAAAUGUUCCACGUGUGGGAUUUUGUAUGUACCAUAUGAAUAAGGAUCGGCUAACUCCGUGCCAGCAGCCGCGGUAAUACGGAGGAUCCGAGCGUUAUCCGGAUUUAUUGGGUUUAAAGGGAGCGUAGGUGGAUUGUUAAGUCAGUUGUGAAAGUUUGCGGCUCAACCGUAAAAUUGCAGUUGAAACUGGCAGUCUUGAGUACAGUAGAGGUGGGCGGAAUUCGUGGUGUAGCGGUGAAAUGCUUAGAUAUCACGAAGAACUCCGAUUGAGAAGGCAGUUCACUGGACUGCAACUGACACUGAGGCUCGAAAGUGUGGGUAUCAAACAGGAUUAGAUACCCGGGUAGUC